rfam:Clostridium sp. ASF502 genomic scaffold acMal-supercont1.4, whole genome shotgun sequence.
GCUGCCUUGGCGCAGCAGGUAGCGCGCAUCCUUGGUAAGGAUGAGGUCGGCGGUUCAAAUCCGCUAGGCAGCU